AUGUGGGCACCUGAUAUCUAUGAGGGUUCACCCACCCCGGUGACAGCAUUCCUUUCUAUUGCGCCUAAAAUCUCUAUUUUUGCAAAUAUGUCACGUGUUUCUAUUGUUGCUUCCUAUGGGGGUACAUUACAACAAAUCUUCUUUUUCUGCAGCAUUGCUUCUAUGAUCUUAGGAGCACUGGCCGCCAUGGCCCAAACGAAAGUCAAAAGACCUCUAGCUCAUAGUUCGAUUGGACAUGUAGGUUAUAUUCGUACUGGUUUCUCAUGUGGAACCAUAGAAGGAAUUCAAUCACUACUAAUUGGUAUAUUUAUUUAUGCAUCAAUGACGAUAGAUGCAUUCGCCAUAGUUCCAGCAUUACGGCAAACCCGUGUCAAAUAUAUAGCGGAUUUGGGCGCUCUAGCCAAAACGAAUCCUAUUUCGGCUAUGACCUUCUCCAUUACAAUGUUCUCAUACGCAGGAAUACCCCCAUUAGCCGGCUUUUGUAGCAAAUUCUAUUUGUUCUUCGCCGCUUUGGGUUGUGGGGCUUACUUCCUAGCCCAAGUGGGAGUAGUGACUAGCGUUAUAGGUCGUUGGGCGGCCGGAAGGUUUCCAUGA
rnacentral:rRNA from 1 species